CUAGCCGUAAACGAUGGAUACUAGGCGUUGUGAGUAUCGACCUUCACAGUGUCGUAGCUAACGCGUUAAGUAUCCCGCCUGGGGAGUACGCGCGCAAGCGUGAAACUCAAAGGAAUUGACGGGGGCCCGCACAAGCGGUGGAGUAUGUGGUUUAAUUCGAUGCAACGCGAAGAACCUUACCAGGACUUGACAUGUCGCGAAUCUCAGGGAAACUUGAGAGUGCCUUCGGGAGCGCGAACACAGGUGGUGC
rnacentral:rRNA from 1 species